GAAAGAUGGUUCUGCUAUCACUCUUGGAUGGACCUGCGGUGCAUUAGCUAGUUGGUAAGGUAACGGCUUACCAAGGCAAUGAUGCAUAGCCGAGUUGAGAGACUGAUCGGCCACAUUGGGACUGAGACACGGCCCAAACUCCUACGGGAGGCAGCAGUAGGGAAUCUUCCACAAUGGACGAAAGUCUGAUGGAGCAACGCCGCGUGAGUGAAGAAGGGUUUCGGCUCGUAAAGCUCUGUUGGUAGUGAAGAAAGAUAGAGGUAGUAACUGGCCUUUAUUGACGGUAAUUACUUAGAAAGUCACGGCUAACUACGUGCCAGCAGCCGCGGUAAUACGUAGGUGGCAAGCGUUGUCCGGAUUUAUUGGGCGUAAAGCGAGUGCAGGCGGUUCAAUAAGUCUGAUGUGAAAGCCUUCGGCUCAACCGGAGAAUUGCAUCAGAAACUGUUGAACUUGAGUGCAGAAGAGGAGAGUGGAACUCCAUGUGUAGCGGUGGAAUGCGUAGAUAUAUGGAAGAACACCAGUGGCGAAGGCGGCUCUCUGGUCUGCAACUGACGCUGAGGCUCGAAAGCAUGGGUAGCGAACAGGAUUAGAUACCCUGGUAGUCCAUGCCGUAAACGAUG
rnacentral:rRNA from 1 species